GGCUCUUCCACCUGCUCUUUUCCAGCUCCACCCUCUCCUCUAAAUUUGGCUGAAGUUAAAUUAUUAGGAAUAUUGGGCUGUUUGUUAAUUCUGCAUUAGUUAGUCUCCAGCUCCUCAGCAGCAUCUCCUCUCCUCCUCUAAUAAAAGCCUCCGGCAUCCUGCUCUGCAUUUAAGUCAAUGACAACAAAUCCCUCGCUCUGCUCCAGCUCCUCCUCUCGCACUGGCGACUAAAAAGAACAAAAAAGCUUCAAUUAAAGGCAGAAAAAAGGACUUCACCUUGGACUUUUUGGGCAGAACUUCAAAAGUCCUUGGUUGUGUUGUGUGGUUAUUUAUUUUGAUGUUAUGUGUUGGGAUGUUUUGUGUAGUGGCGUAGUUUUAGUAUAGUGUCUUGUGAUGUGUUGUUUUCUUCUGUGUGUUGUGUUGUCGUGUGUGUGUUUGUGUUGUGAUGUGUUGUGUUGUGUCACGUUCUUUUGCGUGACCUCUUUACUUGAUUCAUUCACUUAGUGGGUAAGUGAAUCUAAAGGUGAGUGUGGUUCCUCCAGAGUCAUUGUUAACAUGAAACAAAGUCAGUGUAGGACCCAUUUUCUUUUUGUUUGUUUUUUUAGGAAAAGGACCUCAAUUGAGAAGAAACCCCCAGAAGAGCCGAGCACGAGACAGAAGACGCAGGAGGACCAAACAUACGAGAGACAGGCCCAUGAAGAGAGAGACGAAGAAAAGAUGAAUGAUGGAUGUACUGUGUGUUUCUGGGAAUUUGAAGGUAAAUAACUCUAUAACUACUUAAAAGGUUCGGCUUUUAGGAAAAAAAUAGACAAUUUUAACUGAAGGGCUGAAAUUCAUGUUUGUUUCAGGUAACUUCAAAGAGUCAAAUGCCUAAAAUGACUCCAGAGGAGGCCAAAGAUGACGACCAACUCGGUGAUGCAGAAUGAGAUUGGAUGAACAAGACAACACGGAGAAGUAAAGUAAGUAAAGUUUGAUGAAUGUGUCAUGUUUCAUUAAACUGUUGUCUUUGUGUGCUGCUCUAUUGACCUGCAUUUUCUUCAUCUUUCAUCUCCUUAUAUUUAUCUCUAUACAAUAGACACACACAAGGAUGAGAGUGAAGAUGAUGAGCAGCCGAAAGAAGAAGAUAAGAUGAGAACAGCAGCAAAGAUGGUGAACAUGAACAAGAGUUUCAGGGCAUGAAGGUACACUGACUGCAUCCUUUGUUCUUUUCUUUCAGAAUGUAAUCACUUCUUAAAGAUUGGUCUCUACAUACUUUGGUGGAUAUCUGUUAAAAGAUAUUGUAUUUUAAUAUUUUUGUCUUUUCAUUAUAGUUGAACAAGUGUAAGAGUGGCCUCCAAACAGCAGUUAUCCAGCUGGUGACUGAAAAGGACAGAAGAAACUCUGGAAGGAGAGCAGCCAUGUUGACACGGAGGCUGCACCACAUUUUGCACAUCCAAAUAAAUUGUGACAUUUUAGUUUAAACCAUGUCUUAAGUUGUGUUUUCGAAAGAUGAAAGUUCUUGAAUCCUUUGCACACACUUACAGCCUGUCUCCUUACAGCAUUUUAAAUUAUUUGUAUAGCGACUAUCCUGGCAACAUUUUAGCCACUCGGCUGGGUGUUGGGAUGGGACAAUGUUUUUGACGCGCUGUGCGUGAUGAAUGGAUGAAGGGAUGAUUGUCCGAUCCGUACUUACUUUUGGGUGACGUUCCCAUUUAUUUUCAACAUUACAAAAGACAGGUUAUUUUAGCGAUGCAGUGGUGAUGUGUUAGGCUACAGACUGUGACUUUACUGAAGUGAAGUUAAGCAGAACGGAGAGCUGUGGACCGGCAUAGCGUGCAGUAAAAACCGUGUAGUCUCCCCACCACCCAUGCCUCCUGACUGCCAACACACCUGUGUCUUAAUUACUUCCUCCAUUACCAGACACCUACAAUCACACUAGCCAACACCGCAACCCAGUGACCACUUCAACUAACUAACAACCAGACAGAAAAUAGACAAUGGCUCCUAUAAUUUGUAUUGAAUAUCAUACAAUAUGUGCAGAGAAGAAGAAAAGAAGAGUUCAGAAAAACACAAGAUUUGUAAAAUAUUAAGACUGAUGAGGCUGUAAAACCAAGUUCUUAAAUACAAACUGAUUUAUUCUCAAGUGGUUUGUUACAGCCACUAGAGGACGCUUUAUGUUUAGUGCUGAUUAUGCUUUUAAACAGUCUUUAUUAUUAUGUCAGCACUGUGGGUCAGCUCAGGUGAAAAUAAAAACUCGUCAUAGUUCUCAGGUGUGUUAGGGGUUAAAAAAAACUGUGGCUGAAACCACAACAGGAGUUACUAAAAGAAAGAAAGAAAGAAAGAAAGAAAGAAAGAAAGAAUGAAAAGAUAAAAGAAGGAAGGGAGGACAGAUGGCUGGAAGGAAGGGGGGUAAAAAAAAAA